ACAAGCGGUGGAGCAUGUGGUUUAAUUCGACGCAACGCGAAGAACCUUACCAGGGCUUGACAUCUACAGAAUCCUGAGGAAACUCAGGAGUGCCCUUCGGGGAACUGUAAGACAGGUGGUGCAUGGUUGUCGUCAGCUCGUGUCGUGAGAUGUUGGGUUAAGUCCCGCAACGAGCGCAACCCCUAUGUUUAGUUGCUAGCGAGUAAAGUCGAGCACUCUAGACAGACUGCCGGUGAUAAACCGGAGGAAGGUGGGGAUGACGUCAAAUCAUCAUGCCCCUUAUGUUCUGGGCUACACACGUGCUACAAUGGCCGGUACAAACGGAAGCGAAGCCGCGAGGUGAAGCAAAUCUGAUAAAACCGGUCUCAGUUCGGAUUGCAGGCUGCAACUCGCCUGCAUGAAGUCGGAAUCGCUAGUAAUCGCAGGUCAGCAUACUGCGGUGAAUACGUUCCCGGGCCUU
rnacentral:rRNA from 1 species